rnacentral:rRNA from 1 species
AACGAACGCUGGCGGCAUGCCUAACACAUGCAAGUCGAACGAAGCCUUCGGGCUUAGUGGCGCACGGGUGCGUAACGCGUGGGAAUCUGCCCUUGGGUUCGGAAUAACAGUUAGAAAUGACUGCUAAUACCGGAUGAUGUCUUCGGACCAAAGAUUUAUCGCCCAAGGAUGAGCCCGCGUAGGAUUAGGUAGUUGGUGGGGUAAUGGCCCACCAAGCCGACGAUCCGUAGCUGGUCCGAGAGGAUGAGCAGCCACACUGGGGCUGAGACACGGCCCGGGCUCCUACGGGAAGAAGCAGGGGGUAAUGUUGAACAAUGGGCGAAAGCCUGAUCCAGCAAUGCCGCGUGAGUGAUGAAGGCCUUAGGGUUGUAAAGCUCUUUUACCAGGGAUGAUAAUGACAGUACCUGGAGAAUAAGCUCCGGCUAACUCCGUGCCAGCCGCCGCGGUAACAC